CCUUCACCCCACCCCCACUUGGGGGUGGGAGCAGGUAGCUGCAAUGAGGCUCGAAUGGUCAAGACAGCCUCCAGGUUUUGGAGUUCAGAGUCGCUAUGGAGAAGGACGCUGUUGGGAAGGGUGAUAUAGAAACAGUUGCCUCUCUCCCCACCAGACAGAGUUUGGUUGCUGGAUUAUGGAGGGAUUGCCGUGUGGGUCAAUUCUAAGGAUGGGAUACCUGGGAAUGGGGAUCACAUAGGGACUUGGGUAAGGAGGAGAAUCCAGGCAAACUGGGGUCAAUGGGACCUAAGGGCCUGGGGAAUGAUAAAAACGUCAGCCUUGCCUCUCGGGGCAUCAGGAAGAAAACAGGAAUCCCUGGCCACAACUUUGCACAGCCUUGUGAGCUCUGGGUGUAAACCACGGGCCUCCUGAGUUCCUAGGCUCUAGGUUGGUUCUGGCCGCCUGAGAGCUGCUGGGGCAACAGGAAGUCUUUGAGUGGCCUCAGGGUAGACUUGAGCAGAACGUUUUGUCUCCUGGUGCUGUGGCUAUAGGUGAGGUGCUUGAUCUCGACUUUGGUUUUGAGGUACCACACCAGAGGAACCCAGUGUCCCAUCUGAACCAGGUCACGUGGAUUUUGGAAGAGCAGCUUGGAACAAGCCAUCGCUGCAGAUGAAGAAAAUGGGCCCCUAGUGUGCUCAGGCUUCUGACCUUGAAGAGCAGAGCCGUGAGUGGACUGCAGACUGACCAGCACGUGUUCUACUCAUCCAUCCUCCUUCCUGCCCACAACACACUCUAUACGCUGAGUCCUUUCUCAGCACUGAAUAGGAACUGUAUACUUCCAAUCUUUUGUUCAAUAAUGUAUAUUGUACCAGUAUAUAUUUUUUUUAGUUUAAAAAAUGUUGCUAUAGUUCACCUGUACCAGACUUGCAAUUAUCUGUGCCUGAUCCUGAAGGGCUUUUAAAAGCAGUGAUAAAACCUAGCUAGACAUUA